UACGAAGGGAGCUAGCGUUGUUCGGAAUUACUGGGCGUAAAGCGCACGUAGGCGGAUAGUUAAGUGAGGGGUGAAAUCCUGAGGCUCAACCUCAGAACUGCCUCUCAUACUGGCUGUCUUGAGUUCGAGAGAGGUUGGUGGAAUUCCUAGUGUAGAGGUGAAAUUCGUAGAUAUUAGGAAGAACACCGGUGGCGAAGGCGGCCAACUGGCUCGAUACUGACGCUGAGGUGCGAAAGCGUGGGGAGCAAACAGG
rnacentral:rRNA from 1 species